rnacentral:misc_RNA from 1 species
UGACUAGUCAAGUUAAUGUUGUAAUCUGACCACUUAUAUUUACCUUUUUAUAUUUAUACUUUUCUGAUGUGAGAUUUAUAAUCCUAACACUUCCUACUCAAGUGCAACCACAUGAUUGUUAUUUGAUAAUUAGUUUGUAUUUUUAAUCCUAUAUAGGCCUAAUUAUAUAGUCAUAUGGGCAGUUGAAACCCACAACCCAGUUCGGGCACUGAUACUAUAUUAAAUUUGAAGAGAGUGUUGGUCAAUUUACAAUUUAAUUUAUUUUAAUUCGAGCUAAAUAGCUAAUAUAAGUAAGAUUGUUUUAUGCAUCAAAAUGACUUGCCAAGUUAAUAUUGCAAUCUAACCACUUAUA